CGCGGCCUAUCAGCUUGUUGGUGAGGUAAUGGCUCACCAAGGCGACGACGGGUAGCCGGCCUGAGAGGGCGACCGGCCACACUGGGACUGAGACACGGCCCAGACUCCUACGGGAGGCAGCAGUGGGGAAUAUUGCACAAUGGGCGAAAGCCUGAUGCAGCGACGCCGCGUGAGGGAUGACGGCCUUCGGGUUGUAAACCUCUUUCAGCAGGGAAGAAGCGAAAGUGACGGUACCUGCAGAAGAAGCACCGGCUAACUACGUGCCAGCAGCCGCGGUAAUACGUAGGGUGCGAGCGUUGUCCGGAAUUAUUGGGCGUAAAGAGCUUGUAGGCGGUUUGUCGCGUCUGCAGUGAAAAUCCGGGGCUCAACCCCGGACUUGCUGUGGGUACGGGCAGACUAGAGUGUGGUAGGGGAGACCGGAAUUCCUGGUGUAGCGGUGGAAUGCGCAGAUAUCAGGAGGAACACCGAUGGCGAAGGCAGGUCUCUGGGCCACAACUGACGCUGAGAAGCGAAAGCAUGGGGAGCGAACAGGAUUAGAUACCCUGGUAGUCCACGCCGUAAACGGUGGGCGCUAGGUGUGGGGAUUGUUUCCACGAUCUCCGUGCCGUAGCUAACGCAUUAAGCGCCCCGCCUGGGGAGUACGGA
rnacentral:rRNA from 1 species